UCAAAACAGCGGACUUCGGUCCUUGCUGCAGCCCCUUGUCUUUUGCGUACCGUAUGUUUCCUCGGCGGGCUUGCCUGCCGGUUGGACAUUAUCAAACCUUUUUGUAGUUGCAAUCAGCGUCAGAAAAUCAUAAUAAUUACA
rnacentral:misc_RNA from 1 species